UACGGAGGGUGCGAGCGUUGUCCGGAAUUACUGGGCGUAAAGGGUGCGUAGGCGGUUGUUUAAGUCUGUCGUGAAAUCCCCGGGCUCAACCUGGGAAUGGCGAUGGAUACUGGACAGCUAGAGUGUGUCAGAGGAUGGUGGAAUUCCCGGUGUAGCGGUGAAAUGCGUAGAGAUCGGGAGGAGCAUCAGUGGCGAAGGCGGCCAUCUGGGACAACACUGACGCUGAAGCACGAAAGCGUGGGGAGCAAACAGG
rnacentral:rRNA from 1 species